GACGUACUGCGCGAACGUUAUUCGGAAAUCACUGGGCUUAAAGGGUUGCGCAGCGGGCUUCCGCUCAAGCCCCCGGGGGUGGAAAAAGGCCCCGGCCCCAACCGGGGACGGUCUUCGGGGACUGAGAGGGGCUCGGGGACGGAGGCUAGGGUCCCGUGGGAAACUUUCCCGGGUGGGAGCGGGUUUGGGAAAUGUGUUUGAGAUACGGGAGGGAAACGGGCCCGGGUGGGCGAAAGGGCCGACCCGGGACUGGGCCCUUUGGGACCCGGGAAA
rnacentral:rRNA from 1 species